GCGGGAAUAGCUUCAGUUGGUAGAGCACGACCUUGCCAAGGUCGGGGUCGCGAGUUCGAGUCUCGUUUCCCGCUCCA
rnacentral:tRNA from 1 species